rnacentral:tRNA from 1 species
GGCCUCGUAGCUCAGCUGGUAGAGCGUGCGCUAUACAAAAGCGUAGGCGACGUCCGUGCGUUGGUUCAAAUCCCAUCGAGGCGG